UAGUAACGGCGAGUGAAGCGGCAACAGCUCAAAUUUGAAAUCUGGCUUUCGGGCCCGAGUUGUAAUUUGUAGAGGAUACUUUUGAUGCGGUGCCUUCCGAGUUCCCUGGAACGGGACGCCAUAGAGGGUGAGAGCCCCGUCUGGUUGGAUGCCAAAUCUCUGUAAAGUUCCUUCGACGAGUCGAGUAGUUUGGGAAUGCUGCUCUAAAUGGGAGGUAUAUGUCUUCUAAAGCUAAAUAUUGGCCAGAGACCGAUAGCGCACAAGUAGAGUGAUCGAAAGAUGAAAAGCACUUUGAAAAGAGAGUUAAAAAGUACGUGAAAUUGUUGAAAGGGAAGCGUUUAUGACCAGACUUGGACUUGGUUAAUCAUCUGGGGUUCUCCCCAGUGCACUUUUCCAGUUCAGGCCAGCAUCAGUUUUCGCCGGGGGAUAAAGGCUUCGGGAAUGUAGCUCUCUUCGGGGAGUGUUAUAGCCCGUUGUGUAAUACCCUGGUGGAGACUGAGGUUCGCGCUUCUGCAAGGAUGCUGGCGUAAUGGUCAUCAACGACCCGUCUUGAAACACGGACCAAGGAGUCGUCUUCGUAUGCGAGUGUUCGGGUGUCAAACCCCUACGCGUAAUGAAAGUGAACGCAGGUGAGAGCUUCGGCGCAUCAUCGACCGAUCCUGAUGUUCUCGGAUGGAUUUGAGUAAGAGCAUACGGGGCCGGACCCGAAAGAAGGUGAACUAUGCCUGUAUAGGGUGAAGCCAGAGGAAACUCUGGUGGAGGCUCGCAGCGG
rnacentral:rRNA from 1 species